CUACGGGAGGCACCAGUGAGGAAUAUUGCACAAUGGGGGGAACCCUGAUGCAGCAACGCCGCGUGGAGGAUGGCGCAUUUCGGUGUGUAAACUCCUUUUAUAUGUCAAGAAAAUGACGGUAGCAUAUGAAUAAGCACCGGCUAACUCCGUGCCAGCAGCCGCGGUAAUACGGAGGGUGCAAGCGUUACUCGGAAUCACUGGGCGUAAAGGACGCGUAGGCGGGUUGGAAAGUCAGGUGUGAAAUCCUACAGCUUAACUGUAGAACUGCACUUGAAACUUCUAAUCUAGAGUAUGGGAGGGGGAGAUGGAAUUAGUGGUGUAGGGGUAAAAUCCGUAGAUAUCACUAGGAAUACCUAAAGCGAAGGCGAUCCCCUGGAACAUUACUGACGCUAAGGCGUGAAAGCGUGGGGAGCAAACAGGAUUAGAUACCCCGGUAGUC
rnacentral:rRNA from 1 species